rnacentral:rRNA from 1 species
GAACCCAACAGGGAUUCCCCUAGUAACGGCGAGUGAAGGGGGAAGAGCCCAGCACCGAAUCCUGCAGCUUUGGCUGCUAGGAAAUGUGGUGUUUAGGACACUCAUUCCGUGUCGGUUCGGUUCGCUCCAAGUCCACCUGAUUGUGGCUCAAGCCCAGAGAGGGUGUAAGGCCCGUAAGAGCGAUGCUGUCCGGCGCCUGGAGUUGUCCUUGGAGUCGAGUUGUUUGGGAAUGCAGCUCAAAACGGGUGGUAAACUCCAUCUAAGGCUAAAUACUGGCACGAGUCCGAUAGCGGACAAGUACCGUGAGGGAAAGUUGAAAAGAACUUUGAAGAGAGAGUUCAAGAGUACGUGAAACCGCUUAGAGGCAAACGGAUGAAGCCGAAACUGGUCCAGGGGAUUCAACCAUUCCUGUUGUGGCCGCGUUGCUGUUGGGAUCUCAGGACCCACAGUGGCGUGGAGCUACGGCGGAUUGGCGCACUUUCCCUGUGGCCUUCACCACGACCGACAGUGGCGCCAGUCUGUAGCUGGGAGAAGGUAGCUUUACUCUUCGGAGUGGAGUGUUAUAGCUCCUGGUAUUGGGCUGGCGUGGUGUUGGAUUUGGCGGUGCCCGCCCCUUGGGCUCGCAUGGUUAGUUGGCUGGGGUUAGCACGGAAUGCACUGCUUGCAGUUCACUCUGUGUUUAGUCUCUUCUAGCUGGUCCUCUGCGAGUAGGCACCAAUAGUCUGUGGUGUUUUGGUAGGUCUUUCAUCCGACCCGUCUUGAAACACGGACCAAGGAGUCUAACAUGUGCGCGAGUCAUGGGGUUCUACGAAACCCAAAGGCGAAGUGAAGGUAAAGGCUGCGUUUCCGUGGCUGAGGUGGGAUCUGGCUUAAUGGUCAGCGCACCACCGGCUCGUUCCAUUUGUUUUCAAAGGGGCGACGCAAGAGCGUACACGCUGGGACCCGAAAGAUGGUGAACUAUGCUUGCGCAGGUCGAAGCCAGAGGAAACUCUGGUGGAGGACCGCAGCGUUUCUGACGUGCAAAUCGAUCGUCAAACGUGAGUAUAGGGGCGAAAGACU